UGCGCCCUACGGGGGGCAGCAGUGAGGAAUAUUGGUCAAUGGCCGGAAGGCUGAACCAGCCAAGCCGCGUGAAGGACGAAGGUGCCAAGCGUUGUAAACUUCUUUUGUCAAGGGACAAAAUCAGGCUCGAGAGCCUGACCGAGGGUACUUGAAGAAAAAGCAUCGGCUAACUCCGUGCCAGCAGCCGCGGUAAUACGGAGGAUGCGAGCGUUAUCCGGAUUUAUUGGGUUUAAAGGGUGCGUAGGCGGACUGUUAAGUCAGCGGUAAAAGCCAGGGGCUCAACCACGGCGUGGCGUUGUAACUGG
rnacentral:rRNA from 1 species